rnacentral:rRNA from 1 species
AUUGAACGCUGGCGGCAUGCCUAACACAUGCAAGUCGAACGGUAACAGGCUCCCGCGUGCUGGCACGCGGUUGAAAGGCGGAUAGGCGAACGGUAGGUGAACACGUGGGUGACGUACCGCUCCGAGUGCUGUAACACUUGGCAACAGGUGCUAAUCCUGCAAAACAGUUAAUGAGGAACGGCGUAUGAGCUCGCGCCGCUUUAGGGUCCGAUGGAAGGAUGGUCACAGGGUGGAUUAGCUAGUUGGUGGGGUAACGGCCCACCAAGGCGACGAGGCAUAGCUGGCCUGAGAGGACGACCAGCCACACUGGGACUGAGACACGGCCCAGACUCCUACGGGAGGCAGCAGUGGGGAAUCUUCGACAAUGGGCGCAAGCCUGAUCCAGCAAUGCCGCGUGAGUGAAGAAGGCCUUCGGGUUGUAAAGCUCUUUUGUAAGGGAAGAACAGGGUCGAGAUAAUCCCUGCGGCCACUGACGGUACCUAAAGAAAAAGCACCGGCUAACUACGUG